rnacentral:rRNA from 1 species
UACACACCGCCCGUCGCUACUACCGAUUGAAUGGUUUAUGUGAGGCCUUCUGACUUGGCGCCUGAUACUCUGGCAAUCAGAGCGCCGGAUGCCGGAAAGUUGGUCAAACUUGAUCAUUUAGAGGAAGUAUAAAGUCGUAACAAGGUUUCCGUAGGUGAACCUGUCGGAAGGAUCAUUUACCGAUGAUAUUCGUCCAACAACUACACAGUUGUACCUUGUGAACCGUACCAAACUAUUCAGGGGUCGGCUUGUCCGUUAAAUGGUCGUCGGACGCGAGAGAUCGCGGCCGCUCGACCGGCCCCGCACGCGUUUUGUUUUUUAUAAACAUAUGUGUACCUGUCUGACCAAGCGUUGCGGCCGGCCCAAGGGUCGGUCGCGGCAAUUAGAGCAAAAUAACGAGAUACAACGGAGCAUGUCUGUCUGAUGUGUCGGAUAUCAUCCAACGCACGCCAGCGUGCGGAAUUGAGGCGUCACGGUCCGUACUGCACGGACCGUGUCCUUGAAAGUCAGAGAGACUCGCCGCGUCGCGGGAAGAUUCCCCGUGCACACCAGCGGAGGCUAAAAUGUCUUUUGCCCUUCGCGUGCCGGGAAGUCGCCGCGUGCGGCGGUCGUCGUCGGGCGAACUUUAAUUAUCUUGACCUCAGAUCAGGCAAGGCUACCCGCUGAAUUUAAGCAUAUUAAUAAGCGGAGGAAAAGAAACUAACAAGGAUUCCCUCAGUAACGGCGAGUGAAGCGGGACCAGCUCAAAUUUGAAAUCUCCGAUGCCUGCAUCGGCGAGUUGUAGUUGCGAGAAGCACUUUCUAGGUGGAUCGGUCGUGCCUAAGUUGCUUGGAACAGCACGUCGCAGAGGGUGACAACCCCG